rnacentral:lncRNA from 1 species
CCAGGCAGUAGCCUCUUCACGGGAUAUUGUAGGCCUGCGCAUGUGCAGAUACCCAGAGGAGUCAGGCCAACGGCUCCAGCGGCCCAGCAGCCCCAUGUCCACCGACAGCAACAUGAGUCCUGCAAUAACACAUAAAAGGCCCAGAAGGCAUAAACAGAACCAGCCUGGUCAACAAGGCUACCAGCCCAAAGAUGUCUUCAAUGAUGACUCCUGCAUGCCUCUGAAUUUUUCCAGCCAGAUGUCCCACAGCAACUACAAGGUGAGGGGGGCCACGCUGCCUCGGAUGGGCUCUGGGGAUGCCCGGGGUCGACGCGGCAGCACUGGCACUCACAGGGCCAGGGAGGCUACAUUUGAACAGGGGGAGAGCCACGACAAGCACACGACUCCACCAGCAGGAAAAGGAAGCAGCAAAAGCCGACAGCACUCAGGCACGGGAUGGAGUAUACUGCACACGUUUUAAUAAAUCAUUUAAUGACUAGCCAACUAACAUUUUCUUUCUUGUUUCUCCAACAGAAUUUGGGGAUGUCCUUCUGUACAGUCGUCCCUCUUUCCCAUCAGGUCAAGCUCAGAGGGAGCCUGAUGACACUAAUUCAUCCAGCUUUAUGUCAUGUGGAG